rnacentral:rRNA from 1 species
AGGGAAUCUUGCGCAAUGGGCGAAAGCCUGACGCAGCAAUGCCGCGUGCGGGACGAAGGCCCUAGGGUCGUAAACCGCUUUCAGUAGGGACGAAAAUGACGGUACCUGCAGAAGAAGCUCCGGCCAACUACGUGCCAGCAGCCGCGGUGAUACGUAGGGAGCAAGCGUUGUCCGGAAUUACUGGGCGUAAAGGGCUCGUAGGUGGUUGAGUAAGUCAGAUGUGAAAUCUCAGGGCCCAACCCUGAGCGUGCAUUUGAUACUGCUCUGACUAGAGUCCGGUAGGGGAGUGCGGAAUUCCUGGUGUAGCGGUGAAAUGCGCAGAUAUCAGGAGGAACACCGACAGCGAAGGCAGCACUCUGGGCCGGUACUGACACUGAGGAGCGAAAGCAUGGGUAGCAAAC